UGGGGAAUAUUGGACAAUGGGCGAAAGCCUGAUCCAGCCAUGCCGCGUGAGUGACGAAGGCCUUAGGGUUGUAAAGCUCUUUUGGCGGGGAAGAUAAUGACGGUACCCGCAGAAUAAGCUCCGGCUAACUUCGUGCCAGCAGCCGCGGUAAUACGAAGGGAGCUAGCGUUGUUCGGAAUCACUGGGCGUAAAGGGCGUGCAGGCGGUUGCGUAAGUUAGGCGUGAAAGACUUCGGCUAAACCGGGGGAGGUCGUCUGAUACUGCGCAACUAGAGUAUGGUAGAGGCGUGUAGAAUUCCGGGUGUAGUGGUGAAAUGCGUAGAGAUCCGGAGGGAUACCAGUGGCGAAGGCGGCACGCUGGGCCAUAACUGACGCUAAGACGCGAAAGCAUGGGUAGCGAACGGGAUUAGAUACCCGUGUAGUCCCUGAGCGGGCUGGCAAGGCGCAU
rnacentral:rRNA from 1 species